rnacentral:tRNA from 1 species
GCACCCAUAGCUUAAUGGACAAAGCAACUGCCUUCUAAGCAGUAGAGUGAAGGUUCGAAUCCUUGUGGGUGCA